ACCAAAAUAGCUCAAUUUGGUUAAGAGUGCUGGUUUGAAGGACCAGAGGUAGUCAGUUCGAAUCUGACUUUUGGUG